ACUCUCGGCAACGGAUAUCUCGGCUCUCGCAUCGAUGAAGAACGUAGCGAAAUGCGAUACUUGGUGUGAAUUGCCAGAAUCCCGUGAACCAUCGAGUUUUUGAACGCAAGUUGCGCCCGAAGCUUCGGCUGAGGGCACGUCUGCCUGGGCGUCACGCAUCGCGUCUCCCCCAAACCCACCCCGAGUGGAGGGGAAGGAGGAUGGUCUCCCGUGGCUCACCGGUCGCGGCUGGCCUAAAAUUGGAGCCCUCGGCAUCGGGAUGCCGCGGCGAUAGGUGGUGAACAAGGCCUCGGCCGAGCAAGCAACCGCGUCGCGUUCGCGGUGCCAAGGAGAGCUCGAAAGGACCCUUUGACGUUGCCUUGUUGCAACCAAACCGUUGCGACCCAGGUCAGGCGGGCUACCGCUGAAUUUAAAGCAUAUCAAUAAGCGGAGGAAAAGAAACUUACAAGGAUUCCCCUAGUAACGGCGAGCGAACCGGGAAUAGCCCAGCUUUAAAUCGGGCGGCCUUGCCGUCCGAAUUGUAGUCUGGAGAAGCGUCCUCUGCGGCGGACCGGGCUCAAGUCCCCUGGAAAGGGGCGCCAGAGAGGGUGAGAGCCCCGUCGUCCCGGACCCUGUCGCUCCACGAGGCGCUGUCACCGAGUCGGGGGUUGUUUGAGAAUGCAGCCCCAAGCGGGCGGUAAUUCCGUCCAAGGCUAAAUAACAGGCGAGAGACCGAUAGCGAACAAGUACCGCGAGGGAAAAUGAAAAGGACUUUGAAAAGAGAGUCAAAGAGUGCUUGAAAUUGUCGGGGGGAGGGAAGCGGGAUUGGGGCGGGCGAUGCGCCUGCUCGGAUGUGGAACGGUGUUAAGCCGGUCCGCCGAUCGGCUCAGGGGGCGGACCGACCGGAUGGUGAGGGCGCUGAACCCGGCUUGCGGGGAGCGUCGUUCCCGCCCCCUCGAUUGUAGGCAGGCAGCGCGCGCCUCACGGCGAGUUACAUCUGCGCGCUCCGGGCGUCGGCCUGCGGGCUCCCAUUCGGCCCGUCUUGAAACACGGACCAAGGAGUCUGACAUGUGUGCGAGUCAACGGGCCAGUAAACCCGUACGGCGUAAGGAAGCUAAUUGCGGGAUCCCCUUGCGGGUGCACCGUCGACCGACCUUGAUUCUCUGAGAAGGGUUCGAGUGUGAGCAUACCUGUCGGACCCAAAGAUGGUGAACUAUGCCUGAGCGGGGCGAAGGCAGAGGAAACUCUGGUGGAGGCCCGAAGCGAUAUGACGUGCAAACGUUCGGUCUGAGCUUGGGUUAUAGGGCGAAAGACUAAUCGAACCGUCUAUAGCUGGUUCCCUCCGAAGUUUCCCUCAGGAUAGCUUGGAGCUCAUUCACGAGUUCUAUCAGGUAAAGCCAAAUGAUUAGAGGCAUCGGGGGCGCAAGGCCCUCCGACCUAUUCUCAAACUUUAAAUGGGUAGGACGGGGCGGCUGCUUCGCUGAGCGCGUCCCAAGGAAUCGAGAGCUCCAAGUGGGGCAUUUUUGGUAAGCAGAACUGGCGAUGCGGGAUGAACCGGAAGGCCGGGUUACGGUGCCCAACUGCCGCUAACCUAGAUCCACAAAGGGUGAUUGGUCGAUUAAGACAGCAGGACGGUGUUCAUGGAAGUCGAAAUCCGCUAAGGGAGUGAUGUAACAACUCACCUGCGAAUCAACUAGCCCCGAAAAUGGAUGGCGCUGAGCGCGCGACCUAUACCCGGCCGUCGGGGCAAGUGCCAGGCCCCGAUGAGUAGGAGGGCGCGGCGGUCGGCCGUAAAACCUGUGGCGUGAGCCAGGGCGGAGGCGGCCGUCGGUGCAGAUUUGGUGGUAGUAGCAAAUAUUCAAAUGAGAACUUUCGAAGGCCGAAGAGGGGAAAGGUGUCCAUGUGAACGGCACUUGCACAUGGGUUAGUCGAUCCUAAGGGACGGGGGGAAGCCGUCUGAUAGCGCGUUUUCGCGCGUACUCCGAGAAGGGAAUCGGUGUAAAAUUCCUGAACCGGGACACGGCGGUUGACGGCAACGUUUAGGGAGUCCGGAGACGUCGGGCGGGAGCCUCGGGAAGAGUGUAUCUUUUCUGUUUAAACAGCCUGCCCACCCUGGAAUCGAUUGUAUUCGGAGGUAGGGUCCAGCGGGCGAAGAGACCGCACUUCGCGUGGUGUCCGAUGCGCUACCCGGCGGCCCUUGAAAAUCCGGAGGACCGAAUACCCGACCUUGCCCCGUCGUACUCCAUCAACCGCAUCAGGUCCCAAGGUGAACAGGCUCUGGCCAAUUGGAACAAUGUAGGCAAGGGGAAGUCGCAAAAUGGAUCCGUAACCUUUCGGGGUGAAGGGAAUUGGCUCUGAGGCUGGGCACAGGAUCUCAGUUUAACCCGUCGGCUGCCUGGCGGACUGCUCGAGCUGCUUCCGUGCGGAGAGCGGAUCGCCGCGUGCCGUCCGGGGGACGGACUGAGAGAGGGCUCCUCGGGGGCUGUCCCUGCGCGCUGAACAGCCAAACUCAGAAACUGGUACGGACAAGGGGAAUCCGACUGUUUAAUUUAAAACAAAGCAUUGCGGAUGGUCCCUGCGGAUGCUAACGCAAUGUGAUUUCUGCCCAGUGCUCUGAAUGUCAAAGUGAAGAAAUUCACGCGCCGACGACGUCGCGAGAAGUUCACUGAACCUUAUCAUUUAGAGGAAGGAGAAGUCGUAACAAGGUUUCCGUAGGUGAACCUGCGGAAGGAUCAUUGUCGAAACCUGCCCAGCAGAGCGACCCGUGAACAUGUUCAACCUCGUGGGUGUCGGGCGGGCGCUCGGUGCCUCGUGUGCCGGCCCGUCCCUAUCCCAAGCCGGGGAGCGCUCACCCGUGGGACGUUCUCGGCAAAACAACGAACCCCGGGCGUAAAGCGUCAAGGAAUACAAACUCUAUGUGUGCGCUCUCCCGCUGCCCGGUCAGCCGGGCGUUGAGCGGUGCCAUGUCUUAACAAUAAACG
rnacentral:rRNA from 1 species